GUGAUCAUCAAAGGGCGUAGUUCGGCUACGGUCGUUCUAUUCCUGGUCACGGACUUUCAAUAUACUUGGAAGACAGUUUAUUCUUAACUGAAUAGACUGAUCGAAAACAAGUGAUAAACCUGAAAAAAUUAGAGUGCUCAAAGCAAGCUUUGGCCUUGAAUUUUAAAGCAUGGAAUUGAGGAAGAGGACCAUUAUGGUCGUGAACCAUUUUGGUAAUGAUUAAAAGGAACAGACGGGGGCAUACGUAUUGCUCGGGGAGGGGUGAAAUCCGUAGAUCCCAGCAAGACGACCUACUGCGAAAGCAUUUGCCAAGAAUGUUUUCAUUAAUCAAGAACGAAAGUUAGAGUAUUAAAGAGGAUUAGAUACCCUCGUAAUUCUAACCUUAAACAAUACCAUCUUAAUCUUAGCCAAUGUAAUUUAUUACUU
rnacentral:rRNA from 1 species